GAGUUUGAUCCUGGCUCAGGAUGAACGCUGGCGGCGUGCUUAACACAUGCAAGUCGAACGAACCUUCGGGUUAGUGGCGGACGGGUGAGUAACGCGUGAGAAUCUGCCCUCAGGAGGGGGAUAACGGCUGGAAACGGCCGCUAAUACCCCAUAUGCCGCGAGGUGAAAUGAAUUUCGCCUGAGGAUGAGCUCGCGUCUGAUUAGCUAGUUGGUGGGGUAAAGGCCUACCAAGGCAUCGAUCAGUAGCUGGUCUGAGAGGAUGAUCAGCCUCACUGGGACUGAGACACGGCCCAGACUCCUACGGGAGGCAGCAGUGGGGAAUUUUCCGCAAUGGGCGAAAGCCUGACGGAGCAACGCCGCGUGAGGGAUGAAGGCCUCUGGGCUGUAAACCUCUUUUAUCAAGGAAGAAGAUCUGACGGUACCUGAUGAAUAAGCCACGGCUAAUUCCGUGCCAGCAGCCGCGGUAAUACGGGAGUGGCAAGCGUUAUCCGGAAUUAUUGGGCGUAAAGCGUCCGCAGGCGGUCUUAUAAGUCUGCUGUUAAAGCGUGGAGCUUAACUCCAUUUCGGCAGUGGAAACUGUAAGACUAGAGUGUGGUAGGGGCAGAGGGAAUUCCCGGUGUAGCGGUG
rnacentral:rRNA from 1 species